rnacentral:lncRNA from 1 species
GUUUUCCGAGGGGCUACCGGCCCGGACUGGAGGCGGAGAGGGGAGGUUGGGUGGGUAGGCUCUGCCUGUCCAGAGCCGAGGCUGGCUUGUCCCGGCCGUGGCUUAGUACUUUGUGGGGGGAUCUCUCGGGUCGUCCUGACCGUUCUUCCCUACGGUUGAUUGGGAACAAAUGUUAAAGGCUUUUUUUUUCCCCUCACUUGCUCCGCCCUCUUCCGGUUCGGCCUCUGGUGGCUUCUAAGGAGAAGGGAAGAUGGCGGGGCUGUGCGAGAGCGCCGUGCGCACGCGCGAGUCCGAGUGCGCUCUUGUGCUUGCACGCGCAUGCGCGCGCCCCUGCGUUUAAGCAGCCGGAGUGUUGGGAGAUGAGCCGGGCAGUCAGUCUUCUGCGGGUUGUACCAGACCGACUGUGCGCCGACUCCCCACCCACCCUCGUCCGCCUUCUCUCUCAGCCUCCGUUCAUUCACUGCAGGACCAGGCACGAAAGUAAGCGAACCUCGAUGCCGAGGUCUUCCCCAUCCACUCACCUCGUUCGCCGCCCCCCACCCCCCUUGCAGUCAGGUGUGUGCAGAAGGUUUGCAGACAGGGACUUUGGCGGGGAGGGGCGGUGCGUUCCAGAGCAGCAGGAGGUAAUAGCGGGACCCUAAGGUGGUUUGUUACCUUGAACACUUGCUGUUUCCCAGGUGCUUUAGAAUGUAGGUUUAAAAAAAAAAUUUUUUUUUUUUUGGUCUGUAAAAUUUUAGGAGCGAAGCAGGGCAGUGCACCACAUGUUCUGUGUUUAUAAGAAAAAGUUUUAGAAGUGUUUUCUCUUCGCCAGCAUGGGAUAGCAUCUGCUUGUUGUGGUCUACGUGGUGAAUUACUGUAGUGUAUUGCAAGUGGAGGGAGAGGAUGAGUUUGAAGCCAUAGAAAGACGCAAUAUGCAGUUACCGUAGGAGAUGUGUGUCUAUUUUGGGUUGUACUUUUGCUGUCAGUCUUUUCCUGUUGAUUUCCCUUAGCCCCUAACAAGGAUCACCAUAAAUACAUUUGAGGAAUUAGAUCUGUGAUUUGUAGGCAUAAGAAUCAAAUACAAUGUGCACAGAUGUUUUCUUCUAUUUUAAGUGCUUUGUAAAAGAAAAAAAGAAGUAUGAACUAACUUCAUUUGGUAGAUAGACUGCAUGGUAUGAUGUGGCAUAUUCUUUGAACUGGCACCAUUACUUUGGCCUUUUUUGCACAAAAUUCUCAGAACUUAGGAUCCGUAUCAAAUCUUGAAAACACACUUAAGUGAGAAAUCAUUUAUGAUAAAUGUUAUGUGUCAUCGUUUUGACUAGUUUGUUUAUCCUUUUACAGGUUAAAACAAAAUGAAGAUUUUUUCUGAAUCUCAUAAAACAGUGUUUGUUGUGGAUCACUGCCCAUACAUGGCAGAAUCCUGUAGGCAGCAUGUGGAGUUUGAUAUGCUGGUGAAGAACAGGACCCAAGGCAUCAUCCCUUUGGCUCCCAUCUCCAAAUCCUUGUGGACUUGCUCAGUAGAAUCUUCCAUGGAAUAUUGUAGAAUAAUGUAUGACAUAUUUCCUUUCAAAAAGCUGGUGAGUGUUAUGAACACAAUUGUGAUGGGAUGAUGUACUUAAUUAACUGUGUCUAUAAUUAUUAUGUGAAUUUACUGUAGAUUUAUAACUGUAUAGUUCAAAUGUAUGUAGAGCUGCCCUUUAUGAUUAGUGCAGUGUUGGUAUUUAGUUGCAGACAGCAGUAAUGAUGGCGCUGAGCACUUACAAGAUCCAGGUGUAUCCCAAAGUACUGUAUACCUACUGGCCUCUCCAACAGUCCAGUGAAGUAUGUACUAUCUAUACAUGUUAGGCCAUAUAUAAAGUAUGUUGUAAGCAUGGAACAGGCACUGAACUUUGAGAACAAUUGGGAAUGUUGAGGUUAUUUUGUAGCCCUGGCUGUCCUGGAUCUCACUUUGUAGACCAAGUUGGCCUUGGACUCACAGAAGUCCACCUUUCUCUCAAGUGCUGGGAUUAAAGAUGUGAACCAUUUCCCCAACUCCAAAAAACUAAGUUUUUGUUGUUGUUGUUGCUGGUGUUUUGUUUUUCUUUUCUUUUGUUUUCAUCAGUAAGAGGAAACAUUGACAUUUGAUAGAAAUUCCAAAUAUUAAAGUUACCUUUAGGUUUGAGUAUCUUAGAUGUUUCAGGGUUAUUUGCAAGUAGAUGGCAUGUGUUCGAUCUUACUUGCAGAAGCCUAAGCUGGAACCUAGCAGAUGAGAUUUUUUUGCUUGGCCAAGGUCCUUAUCAUCUUACCUGAUCGGAUUUUGUUUUGUUGUGGUGCUAGGAUUGAUGCUAACACUGCAUGAUAGGCAAACACUAUAUCACUGAGUUGUAUUUUCAUCCCUUACAGUAUUUUUUAACUUUGUAUUUUACUGAGGGUGAAGAAAGAAUGUAGUUUAUGACUGUUAUUUGCCUGUCAGUGUGGCUGUCUGUGCCUUUCAUGGCUAUCAGUGCUCAAAUACCCUGCUUCUUCAGGGUUACCUUUAAACCUUCUACUUGUUUUGGAUUUUGCCUUUUGGGAAGUGUAUUUAAAUUUAAGACCUUUUACAUCUGCUGUUUGCUGUACUUGGAGUUAUCUAUUCCUGGCUUGUUUUGUGGCUGGUUCACUAGUCAAUUUGUAGCCCCCUCAAGUUGCUACGUCUGUAGAGGGCCUAUGUGUCAACACCUGGUCUUGAGUAGUUUUGAGUUACUUUUCAUAGCAUUUAUCAUUCCCUGAAAUGACCCUGUACAUUAUAUUUGCUUGUGUUUUUCCUAUACUGCUUUACCACAUUUUUCACCCCAGACAUUCUCUACAUUGUGACAGAACUGUUUUAUCUAUCUCUUCUUUCCCAUAUACUCAGUGCUGGAAUAGCAGCUGCAUGUCCCAGGCAUUUAUGCCUGUACAGUAGAUGGAUCAGAUGAUUUCCAGUGCUAGGAAUCGUGUGUGGUUUUACAGUGUGAUGGUGACUGAGAAAGUAGAGUGGAAUACUAAUUGUUUCUUUGACGUCUAUUAGGUGAAUUUCAUUGUUAGUGAUUCGGGAGCACAUGUUUUAAAUUCUUGGACUCAAGAAGACCAAAACUUACAGGAGGUAUGUGCAGUUUUUGAAAAUUAUCUGAAUGUGGUAAAACUUUCUAAGAAUAAUUUUUUUUAAUUCCUGUAUCUAAUGCAGAAUUUUAAUAUCCUAACUUAUAUUACAAGAAAAACAGCUCUUUCCAUUUCAGCACCCCCCAAGAAAAUCUCAGCUCUAGUGUCUUUUUUUACUUAUAUGUUAAAUAUAAUUUCUGUAUAGCAUUUUUUUAUUGAAUUCUUAAUAAAUUUUAUCUUUAAACUUUAUCAUGAUUAUUAGUAAUGAUCUACUAAAACUUCCACACUCAUGCUUUUCCUUUGUUUUUUCUGAUCAGAAUUUUUGUUAGAAUUUUUAUUAGAAUCCUAUAUUUGCAUUAUAAUAUUCAUAAAAGUAUUGUUCACUACUGUGCCAAAUAUUGUUUAUGAUUAUUUAUUUGUAGAAUUUAUCAUUUCCUUUGCCUCUCUGCAUACCUAUUGUUAUAUACCUGUAUACAUAUGUAUCUGUAUAUAUGCCUCUCAAAGCCUCUCAGUAUCAGAUAAUUCAGGGUUUCCUCUGCACAGACUGCAUGACACCAGGCGUCUUCUGCUUCUCACAUUGCAUUGAUUCCUCUUUGUGACCAUUUGUCUGGUAGAGUAUGGCCUCCACAGUUCCUGUAACAUGAUUCUUCUUCUCAGUAUUUUGGAUAUAGAAGGAAUAAUCUUAUCGAAAUUGUGAGGAUCUCACUCCACUAUUCCUUUGAUGCUGUUGAAGUCUAGUGUUGUGCCGUGCCAUUUGAAUGCUGAGGUCUUAAGAGUCUUUUAUUUUCUCAUUUAUAUUCUGAACAUUUUCAGUGUUCUGCCUGUGUGGGGCUUUUCUUCAUUUGUUGGAUUGAACCUUAUAGUCUUUUUAGUUAAGGAAAUUCUGAGUUGUGUCUUUGAUAUUAUUCUUAUAUUGUUCAAUGUAUUUAUUAGUAGGAUGUUGGACUUCCCAGUUUAAAGUCACUUUUCUCAUUGGGCUCCUCUCUGUUAUUUGACUAUUUUGAACCUUUAAACUCUUAUUUGGAAGUUUUAUUUGGCUGUAUUUUAAUUUUCAAGAGCUUGUCCUUAUAUUUUAAUUAUGUCCUUUUGUCAGAUUUUUUUUCAUUUUAUGGUUGUAUAUAUUGUAGGGUUAUUAAUUAGGGCUUAUUGAAGAUCAGUUUUAAUCCCUCUGUUCCCAGAGUACUUUCCAUGUUGAGACUUUACUUAAAUGCCUGCUGACUUUUGGCUAUCUAGUCUCAUUUACUAGCAAGGCACUGAACAGGCAAUUAGAAGAUCCUCAGUUGUAGGUAGAUAUUCCUGUCUGGGCUUCACUGUGCUAUAAGCCAGUUGUUCUUAUUAAAGAACUGCAAGGGAAGAGAGGCCCCUUGGUCUUGCAAACUUUAUAUGCCUCAGUACGGGGGAACACCAGGGCCAAGAAGUGGGAGUGGGUGGGUAGGGGAGUUGGGAGGGAGGAGGGUCUGGGGGACUUUUGGGAUAGCAUUUGAAAUGUAAAUGAAGAAAAUACCUAAUUAAAAAAAAUAAAUUAU